rnacentral:rRNA from 1 species
UACGGAGGGUGCCAGCGUUAAUCGGAAUUACUGGGCGUAAAGCGCGCGUAGGCGGUCAGGCAAGUCGGAUGUGAAAGCCCUGGGCUUAACCUGGGAAUUGCAUUCGAGACUGCUUGGCUAGAGUUUGGUAGAGGAAAGCGGAAUUCCGGGUGUAGCGGUGAAAUGCGUAGAUAUCCGGAGGAACAUCAGUGGCGAAGGCGGCUUUCUGGACCAAAACUGACGCUGAGGUGCGAAAGCGUGGGGAGCAAACAGG